rnacentral:misc_RNA from 1 species
GUGAAUCAUCAAAUUUUUGAACGCAAAUUGCACUCUCUUCGGAGAGUAUGCCUGUUUGAGGGUCAGCCUAAAAAAAAUCGACGUAGUCGCUGUUUCCCGGCUACAUUCGUCGGACACCGGGUCAUCUUAAACCUUUGGGCUUUUUAAUCGGCUUAAAAUUUUCUUUACGUUUCUACGAACGUUUUUAAGAUUUUACUUCAUACACACGUUUAAGG